GACGUGUUCGCCAUGAUCGGACUGCAGGAGUUCUUCUACGACCAGGUCCCCGACGCGCUGCGCAGCCUCGGGCUCGCCUUCUUCCUCAGCAUCUUCGGGGUGGGCCACUUCUUCAGUAGUUUCCUCAUAUCUGCCAUUGACGGCUACACCAAGAAGAGCGGUGCCAGCUGGUUCUCCAACAACCUCAACCGCGCGCACCUCGACUACUUCUACUGGCUCCUCGCCGGGCUCUGCGCGGCGGAGCUGGCCGCGUUCGUGGUUGUCUCGCGCGUCUAUGUGUACAAGAAGAGGGUCGCUCACCAUGACCAUGACCAUCACGACGGCGGCGCUGUCAUGUAGUAAUCACUUGUAAGGUGUUCAUCCUUUUCGCGAAUGUACAGAUGUAUAGCGUUAUAGUAUAAGAGUUAAAUUCACUCACGGUACUUGUCCUCUCCGUAUAAACUCACUUUGGU
rnacentral:lncRNA from 1 species